rnacentral:rRNA from 1 species
UACGAAGGGGGCUAGCGUUGCUCGGAAUCACUGGGCGUAAAGCGCACGUAGGCGGACUCUUAAGUCGGUGGUGAAAACCUGGGGCUCAACCCCAGGCGUGCACCCGAUACUCCCGGGCUGGAGGCAGGUAGGGGAGAUCGGAAUUCCUGGUGUAGCGGUGAAAUGCGCAGAUAUCAGGAGGAACACCGGUGGCGAAGGCGGAUCUCUGGGCCUUGCCUGACGCUGAGGCGCGAAAGCUAGGGGAGCGAACAGG